CCCCCCCCCCCCCCCCCCCCCCCCCCCCCCCCCCCCCCCCCCCCCGAUCGCUGGCAAGCUGAGAGAGGAGAGAGAAUUAAAAGCAGAACGAGGUGGAAAUAAGGGACAGUAAAGAAGGUGGGACGCAGGAGCAAGUGCUGGCGACAAAGGGCACGGCCUCUCUUCUCAAUCACCAGCCCUUGGGCAACGGAAGCGCCCCAGACACACCACACUGGGGUCCUCGACAAAGUGGCUUCCGUGCACCGAGGUGACACCUGCCAUUCCGAGGCGGGGGGUGACCGCGAUUUUUCUCCUCUGAU
rnacentral:lncRNA from 1 species